CAACAUCACUCAUCUUCAUCAAAAAUAAAAAGAAAAUGCUUCAUGUCACUUUUUGAGAGUUGCACGAGAAAAUGGAUAAAACAGUUUUCACCUGACUGAUAAAAAUGUGUUUAGACAACGUCAAUUAUCAAUAACGGAUGCCCAUGGAUUCUAAACAGAAAUAUUUGCUUUAUGAUAUGUAUGUUUGAGCCACAAAAAGUAACUUUAUGUGUACGUUAACUUACAACAGCAUGAUCCCAAUGAGGUUCAUAAUGUCCUCCAAUACCAUAGUUUGCAACCUAGGAAGUAAGAUCUGUCAUUAGUAUGUACAACCCUGUACAGCCUUACCCCUACAUGUAGUAAAAUCUCCACUGACUUAU